rnacentral:rRNA from 1 species
UACGUAGGGUGCAAGCGUUAAUCGGAAUUACUGGGCGUAAAGCGUGCGCAGGCGGUUGUGCAAGACCGAUGUGAAAUCCCCGGGCUUAACCUGGGAAUGGCAUUGGUGACUGUACGGCUAGAGUGUGUCAGAGGGGGGUAGAAUUCCACGUGUAGCAGUGAAAUGCGUAGAGAUGUGGAGGAAUACCGAUGGCGAAGGCAGCCCCCUGGGAUAACACUGACGCUCA